CCUACGGGUGGCAGCAGUGAGGAAUAUUGGUCAAUGGCCGGAAGGCUGAACCAGCCAUGCCGCGUGAAGGGCAGGGACCUAGGGGCGUUAAACGUCUUUUGUGCGGGAGCAAGAAUGGUCACGUGUGGCCAGACGAGAGUACCGUACGAAUAAGCAGCGGCUAACUCCGUGUCAGCAGCCGCGGUGAUACGGGGGAUGCAAGAGUUAUCCGGAGUUAAUGGGUUUCAAGGGGGCGUAGGCUGUGAGGUAAGUCAGCGGGGAAAUGCCCCCGCUCAACGGGGUGAAGUGCCAUUGAUACUGCCUUGCUGGACUGCGGGUGCCGUGGGAGUAAU
rnacentral:rRNA from 1 species